rnacentral:lncRNA from 1 species
UUUUUUUUUUUUUUAGUAGUCACAGCAAUGCCAGAUCCAGGCUGCAUACACCAUAGCUCAUGGCAAUGCUGGAUCCAUAAUCCAUAAUCCACCGAGGGAGGCCAGGGAUAGAACCUGUGUCCUCAUGGAUCCUAGUCAGAUUCGUUUCUGCUUUGCCACAAUGGGAACUCCAAGAUUAGUAUUAAAAAUAUAAAAUACCUCAAUAAUUUCCAUAUCGAUAUCAAGUUGAAAUGAUAAUUUUUUCUGUCCACACCAGUGGCAUGUGGAAGUUCUCUGGCCAGGGACUGAACCCAUGCUGCAACUGCAGGCUGUGCCAUAGCUGCGGCAAUGCCACCAGAUCCUUAAACUGCACCACAAGGGAACUUCAGAGAUGACAAUAUUUUUACACAUUGGGUUAGCUAAAUAUAUUAUUAAAAGUAAUGUCACUGAUUUCUUUAAUUUGGGUCUUUAUAUUUGUGGCUAACAUUACAUAUACGUGUGUGCGUGUAUAUUUGUUUGUUUUUGUCUGUGCCUGCAGCAUAUGGAAAUUUUUUGGACAGUGGAAUUUUGCCACACCUGUGACACAUGGAGGUUCCCAGGCUUGGGUCAAAUCUGAGCUGUAGAUGCUGGCCUAUACCACAGCCACAGCAACGUCAGAUCCAAGCUGCGUCUGCAACCUACACCACAGCUCAUGGCAACGCUGGAUCCUUAACCCACUGAUUGAGGCCAGGGGUCAAACCUGCGUCCUCAUGGAUACUAGUCAGAUUCGUUGUUUCUGCUGAGCCACAACAGGGACUCUGCUACUUCUACUUUCUAAAGGACAGGAGCAAUAAGGCCACUUUAUUAUCAAACUUGUUAAGUACAAUUAGGAUUCCUACUGGAAAACAAAAAUUACUGGACUCCUGCAUGAGUUAAGCUUUGGGGAUGCUUGCAGGUUAACUAAACUGUUCCUAAAAAAUUAAUCUCAGGAUCCCUCAAGUAUCUAAGCAACUAUUACAAAAUGAAUUGGCCUGUUGAAUGUAAUUACUUGGUAUUGACCAUUUAAAUUUUGGGCUCAAUUUUGUCUGCUGAAGACAACAAUUUUGAUUUUUAUAAAGCUGAUGUUGAAUAAGUGAUCCCAGGGAAGAGAAGCAAGAUACUGGAGGGAAUGAAACAGGAGAGGAAAGCCAAAACAAAGGUUCACUCAGGUGCUAGUCAGCGCUCAGGACCUGAUAUCUGCUGGAAACUUCUGAGGAGUCAUGUUGAAUGUGUGUGAACUGUCUGCAUGUACUUGAACUGUUUGCCCAAAGGACAGAACGAGUAGCACUUAUUCAUUAACUCCUAUCCCUCAUGGGUCAAGGGUUACUUGGUAUGUUACCUCACACAUUUCCAGGUUGGUCCCCACGGGCAUUCCAUGCCACAGUGUCAAAGCAGAAAGUUAAAGUGACUCUACAGUAGAGUUGUAGUGAGAUUCUAGUAUGACUGACGUAGCUGCAGUUCUGCUGGAGUAAAAGAUAAGCCCAGAGGAUGUGGGGGAAGGCUCAAGAGGUGUCUGAUACAAGGUUCUUAUAUGCCUGUCCCUUUUUCCACUGGGACUGAGAAUUUAAAAUCAUCUUGAAUUACUAAAAAAAACUUUUCAAAAUCCAAACAUGUUAAAUUGUUCUCAAUAUUAUGGUGGAAAAAAUGGCAGCUCUUCAGGCCAUACAAGUAGAGAGACAAAAACGUAGUAGAAAAUUCCACAAUAAUUUCUGCAAACAUUCAAAAUAUUAUAGUAUCAUCAUCAAAUAUACAGUAAUCUUUUAAAAUUAAAAGACGGUUUAAAUGAGUAUAGAUCUUAGAAUUAUUUCUGUAGAGCUUCACAUCAAAUUAGAAUUCUUAUAUACUUUUUUUUUUUUUGCUUUUAGGGCC